AUGCAGACGCUGGGGUUCCUUCUAUGCCUGAUGGCAGCUCCCUCGGGUGUCUUGUCUGAACUGACAUUGAGGGAGUCUGGCCCAGGACUGGUGAAGCCCUCGCAGACCCUGUCCCUCACCUGCACUGUCUCUGGGGGCUCUGUCACCAGCAGUGACUGGUGGCAUUGGAUCCGCCAGCGUCCUGGGAAAGCGCUGGAGUGGAUGGGGUACUGGACAGGGAGCACGAGCUACAACUCGGCUUUCGAGGGCCGCAUCUCCAUCACCGCCGACGCAUCCAACAACCAGUUCUCCCUGCAGCUGAGCUCUGUGACCGCCGACGACACAGCCGUGUAUUGCUGUGCAAAAGACACAGUGAGGGGAAGUCAGCGUGAGCCCAGACACGAACCUCCCCGCAGGGCUCACAGACCACCAGGGGGCGCUCGGGACCACCGACCUCCGGGAGCAGCCCCAGGAGCAGGUGCAGAGAAGGGGGCUGGGGGCGAGGGGCUUCCUGUCAGAUCGAGCAUGACCAUCUGCACAAGAUGA